GAAUACGCCGGGAUUGGUGCCUCGUUGUAUCGUUUAUGUUUACGUAACUGUUUUACUUCAUACUUUAUCAUGAGGCUGCACAGGACAUGCAUUUUUCUGUUUAUGAACAUUGUUCUGGCUAAAGUGGCGAGGGAACCAUAUUGUCCUCCGUGUCCCAGUUGCGAGGAAAGACUCCUUGAGAGAGUCAUUCGAAAUGAGCUGGCUAUGGAAAAUUUACAAAAAGAAACGGGGAUCAAAUUAAACAACGCCAUCAAAACCGCGAUGGAAAACAUAUCCAAUGCCGUAUCCGAGAUGACACAAAAAGCGACAAUGACUGGGUUGCAGUUGAAGAAGGAAAACGAAAUCUUGAAAGACCAGUUGACGAUUCCAUUUAUCUAUUUCCACGCAAAUAGUCCAGCAGAUACCAGUCUCGAUAUUGGUCAAGACGUUGUUUACACAACCGUGCGAGUCAAUGAAGGUCAAGGCUAUGACCCGAAAACCGGCAUUUUCACCGUGUCUGUCCCUGGACUGUAUUUAUUUACAGUUCAAUAUUUGGUUAAUCCUUCAACACUUGCUCAACUUGCGAUCGCCCAUCGAGGUAUUCUGAUACAGCCAAGUUUCACGCAACUAGCAAGCGACAAUUACGUGACCUCUUUUAUACAGUGCUUCGUCAGGGUCGCCAGGUCGGACCAGAUCUGGGUGGAAUCAUGGCAUAGCUCAACCAAGUUAAAUUCUAACGGUGAAUACAAUUCGUUUACCGGUUCACUGAUUCAUAUGUAAACUUAUGCUUACUACUGUGUGCAGAAAUUUGUGUUUUGAGAACGGGAUACUUUCUGACAAUAACCGAUAUUCAGACAUGGAAUAAUCUAUUUUUUUCUCUACAAUGUCUCUUGAUUAUGGUUAUGUGUGUUUCUAUUUACAGGCAUGAUGGCGGUAGAAUGUCGCGAACGUGUGACAUAGCCAGAAAAACUGUAUACUUAUUAAGUUGAUUCAUGUUUUUAAUCUUUGAUCUUUUUAAUUUAAUUCUAACAAAAUGUUAAUGGAAUAUUGACAAUAUAAAACCGCCAGACGGUAUUUCAGUUGGUUUCACGUUAAGUCCGUAUAAUUCGUAAGUAUGUUAUGCCCAGCGGAAAAUUCGGUUAAUAAUCAGUUUGGGGAAUUGUUUAGGUGCGUGUUCUUAGUUGUCGUGUUUAUCUUCCUGACCUUAUGUAAUGCAUUGACUGACUGUAUAUUUCCUAUUUGUCUAGGAUUUAUUUUACAACCGUAUGGUAUUUUCAAUAAGCUUAAAAUUACAUAAAUAUCGUAAUAUACGUAAGACAUGCUGUUGAUAUUUUUAAUAUUGUCAUUCUUUCAAACAUAUACAGUGUAGCUUGUAAUUCGUAUCAAGCAAGUUCGCAAACGAUUGCAUAGGUAGGAAUACGUCGAGACAUCAUGAAUAAAAAAAUGUUCGCUU